GUUCAAGUAGCUCAGCACGUUAGAGCGAAGGACUGAAAAUCCUUGUGUCGGUGGUUCGAAUCCACUUCUGAGCA
rnacentral:tRNA from 1 species